CCCGGUGAUAUUUAAACGGCCGCAGUUGAGAGCUGUGCUAAGGUAGCGUAGUAAGUUGUCCUUUAAAUGGGGAAAGGAAUGAAUGGUUUGACGUGAGAAUACCUGUCUCUGGAAAAAUUGGAAAAAUUUUCUUCCCAGUGAAAAGCCUGGGAUAGUAAUAAAAGACGAGAAGACCCUUUCGAGCUUGAUAAGGGUGAAAAAUUUUUUUAGGCUGAAGUUUGGUUGGGGCAACUUAGGAGCAAGAGAAGACUCCUUGAGGGUUAUGAAGAUCCAAAUGUUUUGACAAAGAGAAAAAGCUACCGUAGGGAUAACAGCGUUAUCUUUUCUGAGAGAACAAAUUGAAGGGAAG
rnacentral:rRNA from 1 species